rnacentral:rRNA from 1 species
AUUGAACGCUGGCGGCAGGCUUAACACAUGCAAGUCGAGCGAGCGGCGGACGGGUGAGUAAUGUCUGGGAAACUGUCUGAUGGCGGGGGAUAUCUACUGGAAACGGUAGCUCAUACCGCAUACCAUCAGAUGUGCCCCGAUGGGAUUUGCUAGUAGGUGGGGUAAUGGCUCACCAAGGAGACGAUCCCUAGCUGGUCUGAGAGGAUGACCAGCCACACUGGAACUGAGACACGGUCCAGACUCCUACGGGAGGCAGCAGUGGGGAAUAUUGCACAAUGGGCGCAAGCCUGAUGCAGCCAUGCCGCGUGUGUGAAGAAGGCCUUCGGGUUGUAAAGCACGUUCAGCGAGGAGGCGUUACUCGCAGAAGAAGCACCGGCUAACUCCGUGCCAGCAGCCGCGGUAAUUC